rnacentral:rRNA from 1 species
GACGAACGCUGGCGGCGUGCCUAAUACAUGCAAGUAGAACGCAGUUGCGAACGGGUGAGUAACGCGUAGGUAACUGCCUCAUAGCGGGGGAUAACUAUUGGAAACGAUAGCUAAUACCGCAUACUGUGAGAUGGACCUGCGUUGUAUUAGGUAGUUGGUGAGGUAAAGGCGCACCAAGGCGACGAUCCAUAGCCGACCUGAGAGGGUGGACCGCCACACUGGGACCUGGACACGGCCCAUACUCCUUCGGGAGGCAGCAGGUGGGAAUCAUCGGCAAUGGACGGAAGUCUGAACGAGCAACGCCGCGUGAGUGAAGAAGGUUUUCGGAUCGUAAAGCUCUGUUAUUAGAGAAGCGGUAACUAAACAGAAAGCGACGGCUAACUCCGUGCCAGCAGCCGCGGUAAUAC